GCACUUCUGCAAACUCUUUUCAUCUGCUUCAGUGUUGGAUAAGAGUUAAGAAGGUGCCAGAGUAACUCAAAGUUUAUCCAGGCUAGCCUCUUUCUCAAUUGGAGCUUGUCCCUACAACCUUUGAAACAUUG
ensembl:snoRNA SNORA55 Small nucleolar RNA SNORA55